CAACCAUGUAGAUAUUGUCCACUUUGGGCCCAAGAGGGCCCUCACGGCUUUAAAACGCGUCUACUUGGUUAAGAGGAGCCUCUACAUAUAUAGCGCCAGGAACUUCCUCCCCUAUCCGAUGUGGGACAUCACAAAUACCCCCCAUGCAGACACAACGUCCUCGUUGUGUCCCAUGGGAUUGCGGGGCCAAACAGACAAACACCCCCUACGGAGCCAAACAAACCCCCACACCGGGGUCAGGGAUCGGCUCUGAUACCAACCAUGUAGAUAUUGUCCGCUUUGGGCCCAAGAGGGCCCUCACGGC
rnacentral:lncRNA from 1 species